rnacentral:rRNA from 1 species
AAAUUGAAGAGUUUGAUCAUGGCUCAGAUUGAACGCUGGCGGCAGGCCUAACACAUGCAAGUCGAACGGUAACAGAAAGAAGCUUGCUUCUUUGCUGACGAGUGGCGGACGGGUGAGUAAUGUCUGGGAAACUGCCUGAUGGAGGGGGAUAACUACUGGAAACGGUAGCUAAUACCGCAUAACGUCGCAAGACCAAAGAGGGGGACCUUCGGGCCUCUUGCCAUC